rnacentral:lncRNA from 1 species
GGAGGAGAGAGCGGAGCCGGCCGUGCCCGCCAGGUUGGGAAGCGGCCGGGAGCGGGGCGCGUGGGGCGGCGGAGGGGAGGCGGGCGGGAGGCGGCGGGCGGGCAGGCCGGUGUGAGCUGUUUGGCCACCGGAGCCAAUCGAAAGCGGGGCCUUGAUCCUCUCCUCGGGCAGUGGCUGCGCCGAGCCAGUGCCGCGCUCCCCGCAGCCCUCGGGACCGGCACGGCCGCCUCGCUCUCUCCGCGCACCGCCGGCCCCACCGAGCGCCUAUGGGCAUCUGCAGCCGGCGAGGGCUUCGCACCACCGCCACCGGCAGCAGCGGCAGAGGGCGGCGACCGCCACCCCGCUUCAUCGCCCCUUGGGAUCUAUAGCCGGCGGACGGAGCGCGCUGCGGAGCCUUCCCCGCCUCCGUGCAGGUAUUACAAACAGAGAGGAAUUUGGGUGUUUGCUGUCAUGAGGACAUUACAGAUGUUUUCUUCUGUGCAAACCUCUGCAGUUGGCCUCAGAUCUUUGAGGAUGUGGUUGUUUGUCAGCCUGUUCUGUCAUCCUGAGACCUCUGGGUGCAGAGGAGUUUCUGGUCUAUUGUGGAAUGUAUUUGGACUGAUGCAUUACUCUGAUGAACAUUGUGAGAGACAUCAAUGCACAGUGAAACAACAGAAAACUGGGGGAGUGUAUGGAAGCCGAUUUAACAGAAAGCUGUCAGUGCCUUUAACAAAAAUAAAUAUUACUUUGCAAUUGAUUAAAAAUAAGAGCUGUAUAUUUAAGAUGGCAGGCAUCUUUCCCUGUUUAAAUGCUAACUAAUCCAAACUUCAAACUUAAUUCAACUGCUGUACAGUUUCCAUCUCUUUCUUCUAAUUACAAAUGGGAAGAGGGUGUGUUCCCUGGUGCUUCUGACUUGUGUGCAGGGUAGGUUAUCACACUUAUUCUAAGGUCUGGUAACUUUUCAAGCUUUUAGGCCUGAAUGCAGGAAGCCAAUUAAGUGUUUGCUUAACUUCUACAGUGUUAGUUUAAAGCUGCCCUGUCUUAAUCAGAGUCCUAAUUACUAAAAUGCUCCCAUACCUGCAUGAGAGCUUAGUCCUAUCUGUUGACUGUUAAUUAUAUUACAUUUAUUCUUGCAUAAAAGCAGCUGUAGUUAAAUGGAAAGCCUUAGCUCACGUGGUUCUCAGAAUCACCCAGGCUUUUGGAGGAUGAAGGUGCCUUUGUAGAGUAACAAGGGAGAAGCUUAAUGAACAGGUUCUGUGCACAAGGCAUGUUCCCUUUGACUGGCUGGUCAUUGUGGUGUCUGUACGGUGGCAGAUGCACCAGCUGGUGCUCUUUGCCAUUGAAGCCAUCUCCUGAGAAACAGAACGGGGCCAAAUGUACAAACUGCUUCAGCCUUCUGCUGAAUGAAUGCUCCUGAAUGUUUGCCUUGUGUUUUUCUUACUCAGUUAUUAGCAGCAUCACUCCAUCUCUUACCAUGUCACGUGAGUGCACAACUUACGCUUUUGCUUGAGGAGGGCAAAAAUCCAUAUGAAUUCAAGAGCAGAACAAGUGACCAACUCUUUUUACAGCUCUAGUGCUCUGUUCUGAAAGGGAGGUUGGACAAAUAUGUGCAUUCAAAAUAUAUUAUAAUUCUGACAGAUUUUAAUUUUUUUUCCAAGCUAUAAACCGGGAGUUUGGUUCUAUCUCAUGAGUAUAUGGCAAAUCUGUUACCUGGAAAGAGGAUGGAAAAGUGUUUCCUCCAACUUUUUUUUUGCCAAACCACUCUACUUGUUUGUUUGUCCUUAAUUCAGUUUAGUUUAAUUUUGUAUUGCAGUAAUUG